rnacentral:rRNA from 1 species
AGUGAACGUUGGCGGCGUGGAUUAGGCAUGCAAGUCGAGCGAGAACCGUAGCAAUACGGGGACAGCGGCGAAAGGGACAGUAAUGUGUAGGUACCUACCCCGAGGUCUGGGAUAGCUGCGGGAAACUGCAGGUAACACCGGAUAAUGUCUUCGGACCAAAGGUGUGAUUCCACCUUGGGAGGGGCCUGCAUCCUAUUAGCUUGUUGGCGGGGUAACGGCCCACCAAGGCGACGAUGGGUAGCGGGUGUGAGAGCACGACCCGCGUCAUUGGGACUGAGAUACUGCCCAGACACCUACGGGUGGCUGCAGUCGAGGAUCUUCGGCAAUGGGCGAAAGCCUGACCGAGCGACGCCGCGUGCGGGAUGAAGGCCUUCGGGUUGCAAACCGCUGUCGUAGAGGAGGAAAUGCAGGGGGGUUCUCCCUCCUGUUUGACCUAUUCUAGGAGGAAGGACGGGCUAAGUUCGUGCCAGCCGCCGCGGUAA